rnacentral:rRNA from 1 species
GUGGGGAAUCUUCCGCAAUGGACGAAAGUCUGACGGAGCAACGCCGCGUGAGUGAUGAAGGUCUUCGGAUUGUAAAGCUCUGUUAAUCGGGACGAAAGAGCCUAGUGUGAAUAAUGCUAGGAAGUGACGGUACCGGAAUAGAAAGCCACGGCUAACUACGUGCCAGCAGCCGCGGUAAUACGUAGGUGGCAAGCGUUGUCCGGAAUUAUUGGGCGUAAAGCGCGCGUAGGCGGAUCUGCCAGUCUGUCUUAAAAGUUCGGGGCUUAACCCCGUGAUGGAAUGGAAACUACAGAUCUAGAGUAUCGGAGAGGAAAGUGGAAUUCCUAGUGUAGCGGUGAAAUGCGUAGAUAUUAGGAAGAACACCAGUGGCGAAGGCGACUUUCUGGACGAAAACUGACGCUGAGGCGCGAAAGCCAGGGGAGCGAACGGGAUUAGAUACCCGGGUAGUCC